GUUAAGGUGCCUAACUUUACGCUCAUGGACUACAUAGAGGCGCUGAUUAAUGUACGCAGACAACAGAACAGUGGUCGUCGAAGUCGGUACCAGUUAAGGAGUGUGUGACAACUCACCUGCCGAAUCAAGUAGCUUUGAAAAUGGAUGACGGUUCCGCGAGAUCUAUAC
rnacentral:ncRNA from 1 species